rnacentral:rRNA from 1 species
GAUGAACGCUCGCUACAGGCUUAACACAUGCAAGUCGAGGGGAAACGACAUCGAAAGCUUGCUUUUGAUGGGCGUCGACCGGCGCACGGGUGAGUAACGCGUAUCCAACCUGCCCAUCACUUGGGAAUAACCUUGCGAAAGUAAGACUAAUACCCAAUGACAUCCCACGAAGACAUCUGAAUGGGAUUAAAGAUUUAUCGGUGAUGGAUGGGGAUGCGUCUGAUUAGCUUGUUGGCGGGGUAACGGCCCACCAAGGCAACGAUCAGUAGGGGUUCUGAGAGGAAGGUCCCCCACAUUGGAACUGAGACACGGUCCAAACUCCUACGGGAGGCAGCAGUGAGGAAUAGUGGUCAAGGGGCGAGAGCCUGAACCAGCCAAGUAGCGUGCAGGAUGACGGCCCUAUGGGUUGUAAACUGCUUUUAUAAGGGAAUAAAGUGGGUCUCGUGAGACUUUUUGCAUGUACCUUAUGAAUAAGGACCGGCUAAUUCCGUG